rnacentral:pre_miRNA from 1 species
CAACUACUCCCUCCGUUCAGAAUUACUUGUCGUAGAAAUGGAUGUAUCUAGUUCUAGAUACAUCCAUUUCUACGACAAGUAAUUCCGAACGGAGGGAGUAGCUA